UACGUAGGGUGCGAGCGUUAAUCGGAAUUACUGGGCGUAAAGUGUGCGCAGGCGGCGUCGCAAGUCGAGUGUGAAAUCCCCGGGCUUAACUUGGGAAUUGCGCUCGAAACUACGGUGCUGGAGUGUGGCAGAGGAAGGUGGAAUUCCACGUGUAGCGGUGAAAUGCGUAGAUAUGUGGAGGAACACCGAUGGCGAAGGCAGCCUUCUGGGCCAACACUGACGCUCAUGCACGAAAGCGUGGGGAGCAAACAGG
rnacentral:rRNA from 1 species